AACGCGAAGAACCUUACCUAAGCUUGACAUCCUUUUGACCGAUGCCUAAUCGCAUCUUUCCCUUCGGGGACAGAAGUGACAGGUGGUGCAUGGUUGUCGUCAGCUCGUGUCGUGAGAUGUUGGGUUAAGUCCCGCAACGAGCGCAACCCUUGCCUUUAGUUGCCAGCAUUAAGUUGGGCACUCUAGAGGGACUGCCAGGGAUAACCUGGAGGAAGGUGGGGAUGACGUCAAAUCAUCAUGCCCCUUAUGCUUAGGGCUACACACGUGCUACAAUGGGUGGUACAGAGGGCAGCCAAGUCGUGAGGCCGAGCUAAUCCCUUAAAGCCAUUCUCAGUUCGGAUUGUAGGCUGAAACUCGCCUACAUGAAGCUGGAGUUACUAGUAAUCGCAGAUCAGAAUGCUGCGGUGAAUGCGUUCCCGGGUCUUGNNCACACCGA
rnacentral:rRNA from 1 species